GACGAACGCUGGCGGCGUGCUUAACACAUGCAAGUCGAACGCUGAAGACCUGGCUUUUGUUGGGUUGGAUGAGUGGCGAACGGGUGAGUAACACGUGAGUAACCUGCCCUCUUCUUUGGGAUAACGCCCGGAAACGGGUGCUAAUACUGGAUAUUCACUGAUCUUCGCAUGGGGGUUGGUGGAAAGGUUUGUUCUGGUGGGGGAUGGGCUCGCGGCCUAUCAGCUUGUUGGUGGGGUGAUGGCCUACCAAGGCUUUGACGGGUAGCCGGCCUGAGAGGGUGACCGGUCACAUUGGGACUGAGAUACGGCCCAGACUCCUACGGGAGGCAGCAGUGGGGAAUAGUGCACAAUGGGCGAAAGCCGGAUGCAGCGACGCCGCGUGAGGGAUGGAGGCCUUCGGGUUGUAAACCUCUUUCGCUCAUGGUCAAGCCGCAACUGUGGGUUGUGGUGAGGGUAGUGGGUAAAGAAGCGCCGGCUAACUACGUG
rnacentral:rRNA from 1 species